rnacentral:tRNA from 1 species
GACUGGGUGGCUCAGUGGUUGAGCGUCUGCCUUCAACUCAGGUAGGGAUCCUGGGGUCCUGGGAUCGAGUCCCACUUCGGGCU